rnacentral:rRNA from 1 species
GGAGUUAGCCGGUGCUUCUUCUGCGAGUAACGUCACAGAUGUAAGGUAUUAACUUACACCCUUUCCUCCUCGCUGAAAGUGCUUUACAACCCGAAGGCCUUCUUCACACACGCGGCAUGGCUGCAUCAGGGUUUCCCCCAUUGUGCAAUAUUCCCCACUGCUGCCUCCCGUAGGAGUCUGGGCCGUGUCUCAGUCCCAGUGUGGCUGAUCAUCCUCUCAGACCAGCUAGGGAUCGUCGCCUAGGUGAGCCUUUACCUCACCUACUAGCUAAUCCCACCUGGGCUUAUCCAUCAGCGCAAGGCCCGAAGGUCCCCUGCUUUCCCCCGUACGGGCGUAUGCGGUAUUAGCAGUCGUUUCCAACUGUUAUCCCCCACAAAUGGGCAAAUUCCCAGGCAUUACUCACCCGUCCGCCGCUCGUCAUCUUCAAAAGACAAGCUUUUGAAAUGUUACCGCUCGACUUGCAUGUGUUAGGCCUGCCGCCAGCGUUCAAUCUGAGCCAGAAAUACGAACCCUACGA